AAAUAAUUGAUGUAAAAUGCAGUUCAUCAUCUUUUCAUGGUCAUCAGACAUGACCCAUCUGGACGUUCAGAGGCUCCAUAGUUACCAUGGAAACACCAUCAUCUUCUACAACAUUGAUUCACCAGUAAAACCCAUUAAGUUUGAUCAAUGAAAGUGG